CAUUUCUUACAGAAAAAUCAUUAAUGAAAAUUUAAGCGUGGAGCUUGAAUAAAGAAGCAUAUUUGAAGUUUAGAUUUUGGGUAAAUAGAAAAGUUUUGAAACUUAUCGGUUUUGUCGGUCGUAUGGAUUUUUGAUUCUAUUUCAAUGUUUCCAAAGAGCGCGAGCGGGACCAUCAUCGAAUCAGCGAGCUGCCGGUAUGGAGUCGCGCAGAGAGAGUGAGAACAAGAAGUUGAAACGCAGUGAGAUACUAGAGAAACAGAAGGCAAUCGACCAAUCCAUCAAAGCCGCUUCUGCUCAAACUGACCAACUCGCUUCUUUCCCUCCCUUUCGCUGUUUCAACAGAAAUGGCCUUUGUGUACGCUUGGAAUCGGGGCGUGGUGAUAAGCUCUCCCCUUAUAUGAAACAAUGCAUUCAAAGCCUCCUCAAGGCGAAUAUGGAGGGGCCGUAUGGGUCGGAGUGGGCGGCCGAAGAGAAGGUGAAACGGAGGGAAAUGGUUGCUCCGGAAGCACGCUAUAUAUUUGUACAUUCCAAUGCCAAUGAGAUGAAGUUGGACGAUGCCUCCAGCCCCAGUCCCUUGCUUGGUUUCGUGCAUUACCGCUUCACUAUGGAGGAAGAGAUACCUGUUCUUUAUUUAUAUGAAAUACAGCUGGAUUCCUCCGUCCAAGGGAAAGGACUUGGCAAAUUCUUGAUGCAUCUGAUUGAGCUUAUUGCCCGCAAGAACCACAUGGGCGCCCUGGUGUUAACUGUUCAAAAAGCUAACUCGUUAGCCAUGAAAUUUUACAUGAGCAAGCUGAGAUUUGUGAUAUCGAGUAUUUCACCAUCCAGAGUCAAUCCACUGGCCGGAGUUGAAAACAAUUAUGAGAUUCUAUGCAAAUCAUUUGAUCCUGAGGCUAAAGCUAUAUUGGAGGUAUAUUCAGUUCAGUCUGCAGCACUGCCACAUAAUGACAAUUGAAUGGGAAGAUUACUUAAUCUUGCAGCUCUUCUACACCACUUCCCUUUUCUAAUGGUGGCAGAGACUUCAGCUUGAUUACCUAACACUGCUUCCUGCACAAUUCUUGGAUCAAAACGUUGGAUUAAAGAGCCCUAAACAUGACAAUCACCAUGCAAGAUAAAGGAGAAGCCAAAUUCCAUUGCGUGCUAAGUGAACUGCCUUGUUAGAGUUCUCAACUUUAUCUAUUUCCUCCAACUCCAUAACCCAGAGUACAAAUGUUCACAGUCAAAAAAGGUUUAUUCUUGGGAUGGUUCUCUUAUUUCCAGGCAACCUAGAAAGAGAACCUGAUUGGGAAAAAUAUGCUCUAAAUAUACUAAACACUGAAGUUUUAUACCAUUCUUUAGUGCUUUUAAUUCCCAACUCUGUUUUUAAUUGUCACAAACAGUGCUCCUUAUAACCUUAUCACCAAGACCUGUGUUUUAGCACUUUAUGACAAGCAUUAGAUCUUUGCACCCUUUUUUUGAUAAGUCUUUUUGGGAGGAUGAACAAAUUGCGGCAAUAAGUCUUCUGUAAAUAUUUAGCAAGAAGGAAAGGAAAAAUCUUGGGUGUUGCCACUAAUGAAGAUUUCAUUUGAAACUAUUAAAUAGGAAUUUCCUACUAUCUGAUUUUGCAGAUCUUUUUUCUUUUGUUUGUUUGUGCUCUUUUAUUUUUUAUUUUAGCAUGAACCAUACUCUUCAGUUUCUUCUAUUUCAAGUGUAUUAUGAAUAGUUGAAUAUAUUUGAACCACUAGCCCCAUUGAGUUGGGACCUUUAGAUUGGCAGUUUUACUGUCAUAAUUGGUUUAAUGGGUGUGAAGAGUGUUGAUCAGCUGUAGCUUUGUUUUUAUUACCUAACAAAUAUAUAGGCUUUUGAUAACAUAGACAAAAUAUUUUAGCAUAUUUCAAAUGCCUGCUGUUUGUGAUAAAUGUUGAUACUUCAAGAAAUCAAAAGGCUGAUAAUUGAGGAGCCAAAAAGGAAAGGGAAGGGGUGGGAACAGGUUAGGGAGUGAAUGUGGUGUUUGCCUUAAAUUCUUGAUUUCAUUAGUCAAGUGAAAUUUUAGUCCCAAUGAAGCAUUGAAUCCCUUUGUUAUAUUGUAGCAAUAUUUGAAGGUAAGUGUACCGUUGAAUUGAUGAAGAAAUAUUCCUUGUUGACUUAGAAACUAGCUUUAAAACUAAUGUGUGCAUACGCAGUUAUUUGCUUUUCCUAAAGAUGAUUUGGUUCCUGCUUCUAUUUCAAAUAAAAGAAUACAUAAGCAACUGUUUUCUUUCCAUUGUCUCACUAAUUGUUUGUACUUUCUUUCUGUUUUUUCCCCCAAAUUUGUAGGAAAGUGGAUGACUUACAAAUGAAUGACAUUUUGGCAUAAUGCUUGAGAUUUCCAAGGUUAAGUCAGGAAUUAUUAUUGAAGAUCCAUGCAGAUUAAUAGUACAAUUUCAGGCAGUGAUGUUAAAUAAUCUGAUUGGACUGGCUAGUUGGAGUGGUUCAACCAAAAACCAGUGGUCUAUCUGAUCCCAUAAGGUCAUUUGUAUCGGCGUACAUCGGACAAGUCAAAAACUUGUCCAUCAUCCAGUUGAACCGGGUUAGAUCGGAUUGGACCGCCACUGGAUCGAUUUUAAACAUUGAUUUUAUAUUUAAUCUUUCGAAAAUUCUUUACAAGUGAGUUUUAGAAUUGAUGUAUGCCUUAUAGCCAAUUGUUUAGUUAUGAGUUACAUUUUUGUUAAUUUAUGCAUUAAAUUUAAUUGAUAAAGGCAUUCUUUAUCUAUAAGUUUGUGUAAAAUUGUUAUUAUUUACUUACUAAGAUAAAAUUUAUGAAAUAAUUAUGUUUUAUGUAAGGAAUUAUAAGUGUUA